rnacentral:rRNA from 1 species
ACAUGCCUACAAUAGAGUGUUAAUGUACCAGAUCCCAUUAGAACUUCGCAGUUAAGCGUGCUCGAGCUAGAGUAGUACUGGGAUGGGUGACCGCCCGAGAAGUCCUAGUAUUUUACAUGCC